rnacentral:lncRNA from 1 species
GCUGGCUGCAGCGGCGGCGGGGACCGUGGGGCCGAGGUGGCUGCCAGCCGGCCAAUGUCUAAGCGAGGCGGAGCGGCCCAGGCGGCCCGAGCCUGGGGGAGCGCGCAGCCGGCCAGUGGCGGCCUCGCCGGCGGCCUCUUCCCGGGCUCGCAGUAGGCCCGAGUCGUCGCCGGGAGCUCCUGGGAGCAGCGUCCCCGCCCUGCUCCCCUCGCUCCCGCCUCUUGCGGCCCCACGGCCCCUCAGCGCCCGCCCCCGGCUCCGCCCGCCGCAGCCGCAGCCCCUGGCGCUAACGGUCGGUAACGGCCCGCGCGCGCCGCCCGCCGGGGGCUCGCGCCAGCCACGAGGGAGCGUCCGCGGCCCGCGCGCCCGCGCGGCGGAGGAGAGGUGUUAAGUGUGAUGCUUCCAUAAUACAUUUGGAUGCUGUCAGCUAAGUUCACUUCUGAACUAAGGGGUUCCUCCAAAUGUUGGCUGAAAUUCAUCCCAAGGCUGGUCUGCAAAGUCUGCAAUUCAUAAUGGAGCUACUGUACUGGCUAUUGGAAGGAGGAGAUUCUGAAGAUAAGGAGGUAAAACCUGUUUAGAAAUUAAAAAUGAGUUACGAUUUAAAGAAAAUUCAGAUGACUCAUUGUGAGUGCUAGUUCUCUUGUAGGAUGCCACUGGAAAUGUUGAAAUGAAAAAUAUUCAGCCGUUGGUCUUUGAAAUUUCCUGUGAUGUGUUUCAAUCUAGAUGCAAAGAACAUGGAAAAAUCAAAGUGCUCGAGUGGUUUAAAUAUGUUUUGGGUAUUCCUGUUUAUAGACUAUAAUACUUUUCCAAUUAAAAUCCUCAGUUGUCA